rnacentral:rRNA from 1 species
AUUGAACGCUGGCGGCAGGCCUAACACAUGCAAGUCGAGCGGAGCGGCGGACGGGUGCGUAAUGCUUAGGAAUCUGCCUGGUAGUGGGGGACAACGUCCGGUACCGGGCGCUAAUACUGCAUACUAUCAGAUGAGCCUAGGUCGGAUUAGCUAGUUGGUGGGGUAAAGGCCUACCAAGGCGACGAUCCGUAACUGGUCUGGGAGGAUGAUCAGUCAAACUGGAACUGGGAAACGGUCCAGACUCCUACGGGAGGCAGCAGUGGGGAAUGUUGGACAAAGGGCGAAAGCCUGAUCCAGCCAAGCCGCGGGUGUGAAGAAGGUCUUCGGAUUGUAAAGCACUUUAAGUUGGGAGGCGUUACCAACAGAAUAAGCACCGGCUAACUUCGUGCCAGCAGCCGCGGUAAUUUC